rnacentral:tRNA from 1 species
UAGCUCAAGUGGUAGAGUGCAUGCUUAGCGUGCAUGAGGUCCUGGGUUCAAUCCCCAG